rnacentral:rRNA from 1 species
AGCAGCCGCGGUAAUUCCAGCUCCAAUAGCGUAUAUUAAAGUUGUUGCAGUUAAAAAGCUCGUAGUUGAAUUUUAGGCCUGGCCGGGCGGUCCGUCUUUGGCGAGUACUGUCCUGUGUCGGGUCUUCCUUCUGGUGAACCAGUAUGUCCUUUAUUGGGUGUGCCGGGGAGCCAGGACCAUUACCUUGAAAAAAUUAGAGUGUUUAAAGCGGGCUUUUGCUUGAAUAGAUUAGCAUGGAAUAAUAGAAUAGGACGUUGUGGUUCUAUUUUGUUGGUUUCUAGGACCACCGUAAUGAUUAAUAGGGACAGUUGGGGGCAUUAGUAUUCAAUUGUCAGAGGUGAAAUUCUUGGAUUUAUUGAAGACUAACUAUUGCGAAAGCAUUUGCCAAGGAUGUUUUCAUUAAUCAAGAACGAAAGUUAGGGGAUCGAAGACGAUCAGAUACCGUCGUAGUCUUAACCAUAAACUAUGCCGACUAGGAAUCGGGCGACGUUAUUUCCAUGACUCGCUCGGCGCCUUAUGG